GGCGGUAUAGCUCAGGGAUAGAGUGCAUGCUUAGCAUGCAUGAGGUCCUGGGUUCAAUCCCCGGUACCUCCA
rfam:Camelus ferus unplaced genomic scaffold scaffold533, whole genome shotgun sequence.